UCUCUCUCCUCUCUCUCUCUCUCCCCCUUCUCCGUUCCGUUCCGUUGCGGGGGAGAACAAAAGCCACACAGUUGCUUCUCUUCCCCCUCCUCUGCUCUCUCUCUCCAUUCUCACCGACGAGCUCUCUCUCUCCAUUCUCGACUCCAACGCCCCUCAAGCCGGUUGCCUCCAUCACCCCCGACUCCGACGCCGACAACGCCGCCUCCGCCCUCGACACCCUCUCGCGACUCCGACGCCCCCGACUCCGACGCUCCUCAAGGCGGUUGCCUCCGAUGCCAACGACGCCGCCUCCGCCCCCGACACCCUCUCGCGACUUCGACGCUCCUCAAGGCGGUUGCCUCCGACGCCGACGACGCCGCCUCCACCUCCGCCUCCGCCCCUGACGCCCUCUCGCGACUCCGACGCUCCUCAAGGCGGUUGCCUCCGACGCCGACGACGCCUCUGCCCCCGACACCCUCUCGCGACUCCGACGCUCUCAAGGCGGUUGCCUCCGACGCCGAGACGUCACCUCGCGCAGCUCCGCUUUCGCCCCCGACACCCUUUCGCGAUCCGACGCCCCCGACUCCGACGCUCCUCAAGGCGAUUGCCUCCGACGCCUCCGACGCCGCCUCCGCCUCCGCCCCCGACGCCCUCUCGCGACUCUGACGCUCCUCAAGGCGGUUGCCUCCGACGCCGACGACGCCGCCUUCGCCUCCGCCUCCGCCCCCGACGCCCUCUCGCGACUCCGACGCUCCUCAAGGCAGUUGCCUCCGACGCCGACGCCGCCGCCUCCGCGUCUGCCCUCAAUGCCCUCUCGCGACUCCGACGCCCCCGACUCCAACGCUCCUUAAGGCGGUUGCCUCCGACGCCGACGCCGACGCCGCCGCCUCCGCCCCGACGCCCUCUCCCGACUCCGUCGCCCCCGACUCCGACGCCGAUGCCCACCUCCGCCUCUGCCUCGGCCGACACCUUUUCCACCUCCGCUGAAGCCUCGAACGAUCGUUCGACUGCAGACUCUGCUAAUAUCUCACAGCGUCCUCGUCAGGUACCGCAAUAGCUUCUCGGUCUUUGAUUAUCUCUAUUCGUUGUUAUUCGGGCGAAUAUGUUCCGGCGACUCGAGCGUGAGCUGAUGCGCUUCUUCGACCUUAUGGACUUCUUCGCAGUGUCAUCUGCUACGUUGUUGGGGUUCUGGCUCUGCUUUUGCUGCCGAUUCUCACCAAGAACACCUACAUUCCAGGUGAGCGCCGCUUUCGAUUCCUUUCUUUGCUUACUCGCUCGUGACCGACCAGCCUGAAAGUGAAUAUGCAAUUUAGAUGAGUGUGAGUUUGCAAGAUCAAGGAGUACCCGGAAGCCUGCAAAAAGGAGGGCAAAAUUUUUUCCACUAAAUAAAGAAUUUUCUUUUUCUCAGGUGUUUGUUUCUUUUUCCGAAUGUUUGGAUUAUGUUACUUUGUUUUCUCCAAUGGCUGAUAUUUUGUGGGGAAAAUCGCACCUAGUCCUUUUAUUUUGAUGUAUCGGAAUACGACCGAGCCCUAAAUCAAAUACUCGACAUUCAGAAAGUGUAAAUCAAAUCGUAAAUCUUCAUUAGAAGGUGCAUGUACUAUGUCGGGAAAUUGAAUUUGAGUUGCCACAGAGGCUUUUCGAGUGUUGCACUGUGCUUUUUUCACCGAAAAGAUUGAAAGUCCACUUUUGUAAAAAAUGUUUAAAAUUUGAUUAUACUAAUUGAGAGAUUUAAAAAUUAAUUGCAUUUUGUACCUUAAAUAAAAGGACGAAUAAGUGAUGGAUAUACUAUUGAGGUAGAUGUUAGUAUAUCAGCAAGCUAAAAUGUUGCACUAAACUCUCCCUUGGGAUAUUAGAUUGAUGUUUUAAGUAUGGAGGUUUCUAUGCUUUUCUUUUGGUACUUUUAUUCUUCAAUAAUGAGAUCAUGCAAUUUAAGCAAGUCCCCAUGCCAGGACUGGACUCUUAUAUUUUUUUAAAUAAAUAUGACGGGGGCCUACUUUCAUUUGCAUAUGAGUCAGUUUUUUAACAUGUAAGCAUAUUAGUUUGUGUCCUAUGAAUGUAUUGAAUGGUGCUAUCAAUUUGCAAGUGGAUGACAGCGACGCUAAUUGACUUCUACAUCAACGAUGUUGCUCUUUUGGUUUGUUUUGUAUUUUAUUAGAAGGGAACUCUUGAAGAUUUAUUUCUAUUUUGAAGACAUCACCUCAAUUAAUUUGCACGUGUAAAGUUAUCGAAUGGCUGAAUCAGAAGUAAUUCUUUACUCAUACAAUGUGAAAUAUAUUUUGUCAUACAAUGUGAAAUAUAUUUUUUCUUUUGAUGUUAUUUUUUUAUUGAUUAUUUAUUGUUCAUUUCAUUGCAGCAUGAAACUUCCCAUCUUGCACAUGUAAUGCGUGAUAUGGAAAAUGAUUUUGAGUUUGCCAUCGGGAUGGUUUUUUCUAAUGAAGUUGAAGCAUAUCAUAAGUAUGUGGCUUAUGCAAUUGGAAAAAGGAUUUGGAGUGAGGAAGGGUCAUACGGUUAAAAAUAGAAAAGGAGAAAUAACCCGACGAACAUUUUUGUGCAAUUGCAAGGGCUAUUCUGUCACCUCAUCUGAUCAAGAAAAGAAAUUUGAGAGGGCUGAAGUUAGAUGUGGGUGUCCUGCUCAUAUCAAAUUUAAGGUUGAUAAUGGUGUCUAUGAGGUUAUAGAGUAUGUUUCUGAGCAUAAUCAUACAUUUGUACCGGAAGAUCAAAAUCAUUUGAUUAGAUGUGGAAAUACUUGCAAAGGUGUUUUAAGUGGCAUGAUGAAAGCAGGCAUUUGUGGGACUAUGGCAUAUAAGUUCUUAGCAAAUGAAGCAGGUGGAAGUAAAAAUUUGGAUUUCAUUUUACGUGAUUGUCAAAAAAAUUUACAGACAGAAAGCAAUAAGAUUAUGGAAGGGGGAGAUUGUCAACAACUUUUGAAUCAUUUCCAUCGCAUGCAAAUGCAAAACCUAAUGUUUUUCUACGUUGUACAAGUAGAUCAACAAGGUAGAUUGACAAAUUUAUUUUGGAGAGAUAGUUUGUCCAAAUCCGAUUAGGAUUGUUUUGGUGAUGUGCUAGUGUUUGAUUCCACGUAUCGAACUAAUAGAUAUAGUUUGAUUUGUGCACCUUUUGUUGGGGUUAAUCACCAUUGGAAAAAUACUGUGUUUGGUUGUGCAUUUUUGUUGGAUGAGACGGCGGAAUCAUUCAUUUGGUUAUUUAAUGUGUUUUUGGAGUCUAUGAGAGAUAAGGCUCUUAAAACCAUAUUCACCGAUCAAGAUCAAGUCAUGGCAAAAGCCAUUAGAGUGGUUUUUCCGAAUACACAGCAUCGUUUAUGCACUUGGCACAUCAUACAAAAUGCCAUUAAAAACAUUCCACAGUUUUACCAUAAGCCGGAUUUUAGAAAUAAGUAUUUUUUUAGGCUUAUGAAUAGAUGCAAAUCGGAAGACGAAUUUGAAUCUACUUGGAUGGAAAUGGAAGAGGAGUGGGACACUCAGAACAACAAUUGGCUUCAGAGAUUAUACGGCCUUAGACAUAAAUGGAGUUCAGCUUUUGGGCGUGAUAUUUUUUCAUGUGGUAUAAGGUCAAGUCAAAGAAAUGAGAGCACUAACAAUGUCUUCCGGCAUAUUUCGAAGAAGACGUCAUCCCUUAUAAAAUUUGUCUACUAUUAUGAAGAGCAACUGAAGCACAUAAGAGAAAUUGAAAUUCAAGAUGAUUACAGGUGUCGUGGGAAGCUCAGAUUGCAGGUUUCAUCUAAUGAGCUCCUAGAACAUGCUGCUGCAAUCUAUACCCAUACUAUUUUUCAAAAGUUUUCUGAAGAAUUAAUGGAAUGUCUCUCUGUAGAUGUUUCAGGUACUACAUUUGAUGGAUCGGUUUAUUCAUAUACCAUAAGGUGUUGACAUGAAUACCUUGUCAGAUUUAACCCUGUAGAGUUAUCAAUUUCUUGUGAAUGCAAAUUAUUUGAGUCAAAAGGGUGAUUGUGUCGCCAUGCAUUGUACGUGUUGAAUCAGAAUAAAUCGAUAGUUAAGAGCAUUCCAUCUCCCUAUAUUUUGAAAAGAUGGACCAAGGGUGCCAAAGAAGGGAUUGUGAAUGAUGAAUCUUUGCCACCUGGUCCGUCUACAUUUAAUCGAUUUUGCACAUUAAUGCAAGAAUCUUUUAAGCUGAUGAGUUUGGAGCCAAAGAUGUAAACACUAUGCAGAUGUGAGGGAGAAUAUGCAAAUAGCGAAUGCUCAAAUUUCAUCAUAUAAUUCAAGUAUGGCCGUGGCUGAUGAUGCUGGUGAUGAUGGUGAUAAUGAGGCUUCUUUGUGCGAUAUCUCGAUAUUAGACCCCCAUCGAAGGAAAGGAAAGGGAAUCAGUUAUGGAAGACUAAAAAGUUCAACUGAGAAAAAGAAGAAAAAAUCUAUCAAAGGAAUGCCCCCAAUGCAAAUAGACAAUCGAGGUAACAUAUUAUUUUGGUUAAUAUGAUAAGUUAAAUUUUCUGUUUAUGUUGCAUGAUGCUAAUUAACAUUUUGUUGCUUUCUAAUGUAGAGUUGGUUGUUCAAGCAACACGUAGUGAAACUCAUUUUCCAAAUUAUUUGAGUAAUCAAAAUCAGUUUCAAAGUAUCCUUUAUCCCAGCAACAUUGGUGGUCCUACCAUGAAUUUUCAUAAUUAGGUAUGUUGCUCUUAGCUUUCCAUUUUUAUUUACAUUUUACUAAUUUGGUAAAAAAAUUUGUAUAGAUGAAGCAACCACCAUACAUCAUGCCAUCGGGGAUUAUGAACGGAUUUUGCCAAUUUCCUAAUCAGGUAUUGAAUAGCUAUGUAUAGAGUUUAAUUGGUGAUCAAUCAAUUUGUAUAUUUUUCAAGUUACUAUGCCUCUUUAUAAUGGUAGAAAACACUUUCUCAAAAGUUAUAAUCAUUAUGAUAAUUUAAUUGCAUUAUGGUAAAGGGGUCAUUUUUUUUUAAUGUAGAUGCAAUCAUCAUAUAUCAUGCCGCCAAGCAAUUUCAAUGGAUUUUCUCCAUUCACUACUCAGGUAUUUAUUAUGAAUCAUUUUAUUUGUUAGUAUUAUUUCAACUUUUUAUUACAAUUGUAAUAUUUACUAUUAGUAGCUUAUUUUUGGAUAGAUGUUGGAGCACAAUAAUAGAUCUCAUGGAACAAUUCUAAGCCAGGUACAAUUUACUUUUUAUUGAUAUGGGAUUAUUUAAGACAUUUAUCUAAGCAUAUUAUUUAGAUAAAUAUUAAUAUAUUUGUCAUUUUCUUGUAUAGGGGUCAUCAAACUCUUUUCAACAUCUUGGGAUGAAUGAAUCCGGAGGCCCCUGUGAAAGCACAGAUAAUGCACAAUCGCAACAUAAAUAGCCUAGAGGAACCGUCAUAUAGUAUAGUGCUUGUGCUGUUUACAAGUCUAGCAAAAAGGCAGCUAAUAGGUCUGAGCUGAAACUUCCAUUGUGAUUUGUUGUUGCAAACACAUAUUUUAACUUCAACUCUAGUUUAAUUAAGUGUAUUGUUAUGGGUAGAAUGUUAGAAAGAUAUGCUGAUAAUUGUUAUUAGUCUCUUAGUUUUCUUAAGGUCUGUAUAUAGUUUAAUAUGCUGUUAUGCCUUGCAGAAAAUGGAGAUACUUCCAAUCAAUGAUCUGGAUAAAGCAUUACACGAAUUUGUCAAUAAGGAUGAUAAAACGGCAUUUUAUCCUUGCGUGCAACUAAAUCUUGAAGAAACUCGUGUAAGUAUCAUACCAUGCUUUUGUUGUUGCGUAGGCAUCACUCUUAAGCUGUCAGUUCCUCAUGCUAUAGUGUGAAUGUUAUGUUUCUGUUAUGCUUCUGUGUUGAUACUUUUUUUUUAUGAACAUGUGCACAACAAAAUUGCUAGGGAUUCUGACACCUUGAAAUGCGAGGAGGAGAAUCUAAUUCUUAAAGACGGCAAGUGUUUGGAGGCAAGAAGUUAUCUAUUGAGACUUGUUAUCCUUAUAAUGUGGUGAAUUUAGUCUCAUCCAACCAUUUAAUGUUUGGAGUUCUUCCAAAUUUUUGGGGGCUUUAGCUCAUUUGCUUCAAUCUGUAGUCAGGCUUUAACUUUCUGCUAUGAUUGUGGCUGUUAUUAGAGUAAAGCAGGAAUUUCUUGUAUAUCUUAUUGUAAGGUCUUUCCAGCAGUUACAGAAGGGCUUUUCAAUGAGAGAAACUAGGAGCUUCGAUACAGUCUCUAGCAUCUUUAUUGAGUCUGCAGUACCCCCAAAACUUCUUGUUUACAUUGGUUUUUAACUUUAAAUGAUGGGAUGCCUUUCUUGCUGCCAGUGGUUUAUAAAGCCAUGUAUAUGGAAGAUCUAUGUCUUGUGUGCAAAUAGUAGAUGAAUUAUACUAGCUCUCAGUGUUCUACUUAUUGAAUUUGCCGUCCUCUAUAUCAGUACUUGGGAUAAUUCUGUCUUUUUUUUUCCCUGGUACAGAACCUCUGCAACAGGGGCUGCAAAAAAUGCUGCCAGAAGUAUUCUUGAUGAUGAGGACGAUUUAAAAAAUGAUGAAACUUGUACAUUGUAUGUCCUAGAUGCCAAGUGAUUUCAUAUUUUAAUGGCAUGUCCUUUCCAAUCUCUCACUAUAUGGAGAUACAUAAAUGAAUGAAGAACCUGAUUCAUGUGACGCUUCUGUAACUACAGUUUUUUUCCAUAGAUAGAUAUAAGUACGGCUGAAAAUGUUUCACUCAUUAAGCUCCAUUGUCUCCCUAUAUGAUGCAUCUAAAACUACAGUUGAAAUUCUAUGUUCGUCUCUUUAUCUGAAUGGACCUCAUUAAGGUGGAUAAGAUGGAGAGCCUGUUUGCAAUGUCAAUGCUUUACAGUUGUAGCUGACAGCUCUGUUUUCGGUUCCUAGGUAACGAGAAACUACGGUGCAUUGAGAAGAUGAGAUACUAUGGUUCCAUGCCUUGUCACCAGUGCCUUUCGCAUGUUGCGUCCAUACCAUGGCCAGAGGCAGUGCAUUUAUUAAACUUUUCGUAUUUUUGUUCUUGAUUGAGGACCGUGCUCUUGCUACGGUUAAGGGGAUGCCAAAGUCGCUCCUGUUUUCACGGGAUUACAAUAUUUUAGAACCGUGUACGGGCCACCUGAAGAGAAAAUUUAUCAAACAGUGCUGGAGAAAGUGUGGUUGUGGUAAACAUUGUGGCAAUCGAGUGGUGCAGCGGGGCAUAAGUUAUAAUAUGCAGGUAAAGAGUUGUUUUCGUGUUAUUUUAAAGCUUUUGCCUGUUGUAGCUCUACUGUCAUAUUUGGACCUUGUGGUGGUUAUCAUUCUUAAAAGUGUUCCAGUUACUACUGCAGUGAGUGACUUUGUUUGGGAACCCUUAAGCUUAAGCCUGUACUCUUUUGUGACUGAUUUUGUCCUUUAGGUGUUUAUGACGCCUGAAGGAAAAUGGUGGGGUCUGCAAGCACUGGAUGAACUGCCUAAAGGUGCAUUUGUAUGUCAGUACAUAGGUGAAAUAUUAACCAUCAAGGAAAUGCAUGAGCGAAAUUUGAAGAAGGGUGACGCUGCGAAACGUACUUAUCAGGUGCUCCUUGAUUCUGAUUGGAGCUCCAUGUAUGUGAAGGAUGAUGAAACUCUUUGUUUGGAUUCAACGACCUUUGGAAACAUUGCUAGGUUUAUCAACCAUAGGUAUUUGUUUGUUUUGAGAAGUAGCAUUCUUAUGUUUAUUUGGUUUUUGAUCUCUUAGAUUGUUAUUGCAUCUGCCUUUAAGAUGGAAAUUCCUCAAUAUUGGAUGGUUUAAUUUGUAAACGUAGCUCCUGGCAGAAAGUUCACUUUUUAAGCAUAAGUCCUUUGGUCUAAAGCUUUGAGAAUCCAACUUUCAGCUGGGCAUUGCAAGCUUAUCUCCUAAAACAGCAUAAAAAUUCAAGACACCUGGAAAGGAUUUCCCCUAUUCAUUCAUCGUAGAACUCAUGUAUUAAACCUGGUGAAACUGAGUUAUUUGCUUUGUCAUGGUACUGCUAUUGUUUCCUGAGUGACUAUAGAAAGCAGACCUUGACUCUGCUUGGCUUUUUCUGAUUUCUCAUGUUCUCCCCUUCUUCAAGCUUGCGAGAAAAGGCAUCAAUGCCUACUUAAUGGAAGGCUAAUUGAACUGAACGAUGUCACAUAAUUCGACCUAAUUGGGGAAUCAUAUUCCGUGGGGGGCUCUUCCAUUUUUUUUUGCUAAGAUAGAGGUCUUGAUCCUGCUUUCCUUCUGAUGGAAUUCAACAUUGACUCUGGCUAGUGAGUAUCUGUUAUUGGAUUCACUUUUCUCUGACCCUACAUAUUGUGUUUAAGAAAAGACAGAGGAUGAAUUACUCAAAGUUCAUUUAAGGUUGGGGAUACUCAUAGUCGUAUCACUGUAUAUUGUAAACUUUCAAUCCCUACGGCUACCUUAUCACAAUGUGUAAAGCAUACCAGCAUAGUGUAAUCGAGGUUCCAGUAAUGACAUUUCUAUUGGGUCACUCCAUCUACUAUCCAUAAGAAAUGAAUAGAAAGCAGACGUGGCAUGUAAUACAGCAUGUGGAUGAAGUGCGACAUCAAUCUCUACCAUGUGUUGCCUAACAUUUCAAUCACUUAUGUAACAAACACAUUUGAUGUACUACUAUUUGCUGGAUUUACAGCACCUUUGGAAUAUAGGCAAACAAUUUCUUCAAAACGUUUUAGGCAACAGGCUUCACCUUGUUGCUGGUAUCUUUUUGGGUAUUCGAAGAAAAUCUGAUUUGUUUUGGUCAUACUUCAUUCAUUAAGGAUGCGGAUUUGGUUGUUAUUUGUAACUUGUGUUUAUAUUUGCUAAGAAUGACGAUGAAAUGCACUUCGAAUGCAUUCUCUGGUAGUCCAUCUUAUACCUAGAGGGAGUUGUCAUGCAUCUAUACCGAAUGGAUUCUAGAAUGACAUUCUCUAUUUGUUAUUUUUUGCUUUGAUGAAUUUCAAUGGAGGAACUUGUGAUUUCAGGUUAAAGGUUGUGAAGAAGUCAUUUCUACUUUAGGCAGUGGUUCAGCUGCAGAGAAAGCGCUCACCAUCAUGCGAGAUAAAGGUUUGUUACUUCCUAUAUACUUACACCCUACAUGUCCUUUCUCGAUACUUUUACAAGUUUGUUCUUCUUGUCUUUCUGUAUAAAAACUGGAAUUGUCUUUUUUAAUUUUAAGAACUUUAACUGCUCUUAGAAGAAUCUAAUAAAAUUCUGAUGCUAGUUUCGCUUGUUAACAUUCAAUUUUCGAAGUCAUAUGUGGAUUGCCAUUAUUUGCGUUAUGUGUGAUUAUCCAGGUUGCUUCAAGACUUCUCCACCAUGAGUAUCAGUUGCUGCAUGACCAGCCUGCAAGAUACCAUACCCCUGGACGGAUUGCCCAAACUCACUAUCUUGAUGUCCCGGUGGAUGGGCCAACUACCAGUGUGUCAUCUAUUGAUGGAAGUGAGAAGCUGCCUAGUGUUGAUGGUGUUCAAUGUCCGGCAAAAAUGACCAACAAAUUGAUGGGAAUUAAGUCUAAAAAGAUUUGCCCUAAAACCGUAACCACCGAAAGUUUCACUACUCCAUUAACCUCCGAUGAUUAGUAACAUGCCAAAUAAUUUUAGAGGUUUUUCAUCCUAAUGGCGAUGUGACCAUGUAGAUCCAUUAUCGCAUGGUGGGUUACCCAAAUUUGAUUGGAAUUUAAAAUUCCUUUUCAAACCACCAAAGAUCAGAAUUUUACCCAUACAUAAUUAAGUGAAAACAUACAAAACUUCUAAAAUUUUCUCCAAGGCAGAAAUUAUAAAUAAGCUCCGAUACCAACCGUAAGACUAAAUCUAAAUAAAACUUGACAAUCCCAAUUUAUCAUUCAUGGAUAAAUUUAUACAAAAUUGGGGAUCGAUUUGCAGAAACAUAAAGAUUGACAUACCUCCAAUCAUUGAUGAAAAUCUGCAAAUGUGAAAAAGCCAAAACUUUGGAUAGAUUCACAAAACAUAAUCGAUAUGCAAAUAUGGAAAUACCAUAUCUGUACGUCUUGUUCUACUAGCUAAUACCCUUCAAACGUGAUGAUGUAUCUUCUGUAGUGAUCAGGUUUGGACUAGACGACCUGACGCUUCAUUCUAUUUCUUACAUUAUUGACGUCUUCUAUCAAGUCCGUUAUGAUAACAUAUUAAUGGACGAAUAUCAUGUAAUAACCGCGGAUAAUAAAUUGGAUAGUAAAUCGGAAUUAAUUAUGAAAUACAAUAUUGGGAUCACAUAUGAAAUAAUAAUAAAAUAUUAUAACAUAUAAAACAAUGCCAAUGAUCAUUUCUAUUUGUAAUGUCUUUCUCCUCUUCUCUUACCGUUGCCUUCGUCACAUCAUCGCCGUUGUUACACACGACCUCCUGCACCCUCCAUCGCUAUGCACAAGCUCAAUUCUACCCAGGUUAAUAUAUUUACCUACCUAUUUAUUUCCUCGUCUACUCUCUCUCUCUCUCUCUCUCUCUCUCUCUCUCUCUCUCUCUCUCUCUCUAACUCCCUUUGCUUUUCCUGUUCAAAAAAAAAAAAAAAAAAACUCCCUUUGCUUUGUUCCUGAUUCUUCUUGAUGCGCGAGCGUCGAGCUCUAGUCAAGCUUUGCACCAUUAACGACUUAGCAACAAGAAGGUGACAUUUGGUGGCGGAAGAAGAGAAAUGGCGAGACGGAUGAAGGGAGAUGACCAAACGAAUAAUAGAGGGAGAGAGAGAGGGUUGUGAAGCGAUAUAUUGGUGGCGGAGGUGGGUGGUGGUAGGGGUGUUAAUGGUUUGAUUCGGUUCGAUUUUUCGGUUUUUGAUUUUUAACUUUUAGUUUUUGAUUUUUGUAUUUGUUUUUUUUUCAUUUUUUUUUUGUGUAUAUAUUUUUCGUUUUCAAGAAAUAAGUUCUUAUGGGUUUAUUGAUUCGAUUCAAUUUGGUUAAUUGAUAAAAACCGAACUAAUAAAAAAAAAUUCGAUUUUUAAUGAGAAUCAAACUGAAUGAAAACUAAACCAAAAAAACUGAAUUUUUUGAUUCGGUUCGGUUCGGUUUUUGACACCCCUAGGUGGUGGCGGGCCGAGGCAGUGGCAAUAGGGUAGCAGAUUUGGGCGCAUGAGGCGGAGGAACCGGAAAAGUGACAUGCGAGUGCGAGUGUCGAAGCAUGUUUGAGACAAAAGAGAGAAGGGAUUGGAGGCCUUUGUUCACUAACAAUGAAAAGGGCUUUAGCCAUGUUAGGGGCGGAAAUAGUCCCACUUUACGUCAUUUAGUAAAUUCUUUUCAGUGAGAACUUAUAACAGUAGCAUCACUCUUUUUUUCUUUUUGAGUUCUCAAAUUCUGAAAAGAGAUAAAAGAGAAAGAUUGCUUGACUAGAAAACUAAUUAGGGAUUAGUUGUUAGACGCAAAUUGCGCAAUCCCAAGAUCUCCAUAACCAGAACAAGAACGUAAUUGAGUAGAAAGAUUAACGCACCUGAUUUGGGAUCCAUCGAACAUAAAGCGGAAGCAUAAAAGGAUUACCCACAUAUAUCAAGGGGAUCAACGCAUCAAGUCCUUCUCCUCUAUUGCCCUCCGUAUCACUACUGGCUCAAUGAGGCGGCCUCCCUCACGUUUAACGUUAGGUAAACGCUCCUUAGGUGAGGAUACAUGUGAGAAUUAAGGUUAGAGGAGAGACUUGAGCACUAUUUAUAGAGUUUCCAGCCAGUCCCUCUCAUUACGGGCCAGGCUCAACUCGGCCCACACUAACCAGCUCAUAUUAGACUAAUUAAGAAACCUUCUAUCUCACCUUAGACCAACCUUGUUUUACGGUAACCGUAAAAACAGUAAAUUACAAUAUCAAUUAAUUUAGUCCACAUUAGGAAAAACUCUUACAUUCUCCCACUUGGACUAUAUUAAUUGAAAUCGUACCGUAUGUGCGCACAUUUGGUCUAGAGAUAAUUCUUAAUAGUCAAUCAUAUCCCAUAAAGUCUUAAACACCGAAUUAUGGUGGUAACUGCAUGUAUACACACAGAGCCUUCCAUGGUCACGAAUGUUCUCAACUUUAUUGAUAUGGAUUCAAUAUGGUAGUGUGUCAAAUGGAUAACGUCUCUUAUAGAGAGAUCUCAUUUGUCAGUCACCAUUCUCUUACCUUAGGUGUCACAAAAACUUGUGCCACAAGAGAAUGCUUUAUGGUUCCAAUGAACCCACAUAUGUCUUGUCCUUAUGGCUAACCUUUCUUUAUGUAUCACAAGACAUAUGCACAAGGCUAAUAAUCGGAUGCCCGGAUGCCCCUAGCCUUCACUCAAGGUUUAUACAAUCCCUUGAGACUUUAUCAAUAUGUAUUCAACAUAAUAACAAUACAUUCAAAAGAUUUUAUUGAAUGCAAAAGUUGAUACAUAUCAAACCGUUACAAAGUGUAACGAAUACAGAUGAAAUAUUUAUCAGAGUAAAGCCAAAAUAGCUCCCACUAAACAACACUAUCCGAAGAUACUCCUAGGCUCAUGCUAAUGACAUGUCACUCAAAUACACAUGGGCGUAGGCCUUUUGUUAGUGGAUCUGUAACUACAUCAUCUAUGAAAAUAUGUUAUAUUAUAAGUCACAUUUCUAUACCGUUUCUUUAUGGUAAAAAAUAUUUGACCGCCAUAUAUUUAGACCCCUUGAGACCUCUGUAGUAAAUAAAUAUUACUACAAAUUUGUUAUCUCAAUAUAAUCGUAUGGGUCUAUCCAUAAAGUUAAAACGAUCAACUCCGUCAUGAGAUUCUAGAGCAUAAUAGCCCAAGUAACAGUCUAAAAGAAUGUUACUAACACUGCUUACAUAGUAGAAGAUGACAUAAAACUUUAUUUAUUACACUUACUGCUAACAUAAAUAUGUAUUCUGUUAUUGAUUGCAUGUCAUCAGAACAACCAGUAAAGUUUAUAUCUAAAUACCCUACUAACUGCAAGAAUUGAACAUAUCUAUAAAUUAGCAUAUAAUCUCGUCUUCUUUAAGUACCUUUAAAUCUUCUUGGCAGCAACCCAGUAAUCGCGUCUUGGAUUUGAUCGAUAUCUAUUUUGAACUCCCGUCACAAAGACAACAUUUAGUCUAGUGCAAAUUUGAGCAUACAUUAUACUUUUAAGUGCACUGACAUAAGGUACACCAUUUAAUUAGAUUUUCUCAAUAUCUAAAUAAGGACAAUGUGAUAAAUUUAAUCCAUCACCCUUAACAACGGGAGCAAUUCCUGGCUUGCAAUGAUGUAUAUUGAAUAUUUCCAAUAUACAAUCAGCAAAUGUCCUCUGAGAAAAUCUAAUAUAAUAUGGCAAAAACAAUUCUUACAGACCUCAGUACAAAUGAUAUAAGAUGUCUCGAUGUCACAACUUGUAAGCAAAACAUCAUGUACAUAAAGUAUGAGAAAAAAUAAAUUUCCUCCCACUGACCUUGCAGUAUAUUGAAUUACUUUGUUCUCAAUUGAACAAAAUAAUAACACCAUGAAACUUUAAUAAUAUUGUCUGGAAACUUGCUUAAGACCAUGAAUUAGAACUUUUCAGUAUACAUACAAGUUUACCUAAAUCUGCUGCAAAAUCAUCCAGUUGCACUAUAUAGAUUUUGUAUCUAUUUGGCGUAACUCCAUAUCAAAAUAAAUUAUUAAUGCCACAUUCACUCUGAAAGAAUCUUUUUAAAAAAAAUACUAGAAAGAAAUAUUUAUUUCUUCACUAUAAACAAUCCACUCCUCUUUCAGAGUGAAAACUUUAGUUACCAAUUUGGCUUUAAAUUCCACAAUCUUUCUUUGAAAUUCUUUUAAUUUUGUACGCCAAUUUGCAACUAAUGAACUUGUAAUCUUUAGGCAAGUAAGUUAGUUUCCAAACACUAUGAUGUUUCAUAGAUUGUAUAUGGCCUUUUAUGGCAUCUAAUCACAUACUUGAUUGAGAAUAAGAAACGACAUUUAUAAAUAUGUCAUUACAUCAACCAUAUAGUGGAUAUUGUAAUCAUGCUCUCACAAAUAGAUUAUAUAGUCUGAUGGUAUAACUGAUCGUCUUUCCUUAACAAAUCUCCUUAAUAAAGCUGCAACCACUUCAUUCUGCACUUGAGAGGUUUAAGAAAUUUCAUUAUAAACUAUAUCAAGAAUAGUACCUUAAACCUCAACAAGUUUAGUCUAUGGUACAGGAGAUUCCAUAAUUGUCUGUACCACAAUUGUUUAUAUAGGCAAAGACAGAGAUACAGUAACAUCCAUCAUACUCAUCACCAUGUUUAACAUGGUGCAUUUAUGCCUUUCGGCCAAAUCUUUUUGUUAGGAUUUUCAGGUAUAGUAAUUAAAUUACCACCCUAGAAUUUACCAAGUAUUUGACAAAUGACCCUUUAAGCAAUUUAGUAUUGUCAUAUUUGCCAAAAUACUUACCGCUACUAUUAGGCCUGACAACCUUCAAGACUAAUUUGAACCGGUUUAUUCUUUAUCUCAAUCAAUUUCUUUAAAUAGAAAACUUUCGGAAAUAACCUUUUAACCAUAUACGAGAUGUAUAUGUCAUUAGGAUUUAAACACAAUCUUUGCAUAUGUGUCCUAAUUUCAAUAUCAGACAAGACAUAAUUUCAAGCAAUUAAGGCUUCCAUCAUCUUAUAGCAGUGCAGUCCGUAGGCAAACCCCUUUUCAAGUGUUCUAGAAUGGAACGCUUCAUGGACAGUAAGCAAAUUCAAUUGCUUAUUUCUCAAGCAACAAAUCAUAUGUCCAUAACUUAAAAUUUUAAGCAGUAAAAACCUCAAUAAUAGUGGAGUUAUUAAUUACAGAAAAUGUGACUGAAAACCAAGCAAUAUAUAUAUAAUUAGCAUCAUGUGAGUACUAUGUAACUUGACGUACAAGUACACAUCCAGAGAGUUACAUGCAUAAUCAUAUAAUCACCUUUGGGCAGAAUACAUGACAUGCAGUUGUAUACUCCCCACAUGAUAAGGGUUAUGAGAAUAUAUUCCAAUCUUCGUGAAUUCAUCACCUUUGGGCAUAUGAACCAUUAGGAUCGGUCACUCCCCCACCACACUAUCAUGUAUCCAUCCAUGAACUAAUACACAAUCACCUCCUUUGGGAGUAUGACCACGCAUUAGAUCAGGAGACAUCCCAAUCAUCAUACGAGACCGAAAUUUCUCAAACCCAAUCAAGCGUGCCACUUUGGCGGUCACUACUCAAUUGAAUCAUUGAAAUUCUCUCAUACCAAGGAUAUAAACUUUACUCCUCACAUACACCAUAUACAUGUGAUUUUAACUUUAGUGAUAGGGGCAGCAUAUCACCAAAAUCACAUAUCAUGCUAAUUACAUUGCUUUAUUCAUUAAUAAAAAUUAAUCAUACAUAUAUAUAUAUAUAUAUAUAUAUAUAGCAAACCUGUUUUGACAUAUUCUAAUGAGAUCAUUGAUUACAGUAACACAAGAAACUUCUUAUAACAGAGAAUAAAACAUCUCUUAUGCAUCCUGAUUACAUAUUACUAGAACAACAUAAAAAGAAUGCUGAUCUAAAAUAUCUCUCACAAAUUAACAUCAAUAGUAAUAUAGGGUACACCAAAUCAACAAGCACUAUUGCUCAUGAAUUUCAUACGGCAAAACAUGAUUCCAAGGCCAACAUCUGAUUUAUUAGCCAACUUUAAGCAACAAAUUAUGAUUGUAAUCAACCAGUGGCCUAUUAAUUGAGUCAAACCAGAGAACCAAAUAUCUAAAAUUUAACAGUAGAUACUAUUGUUCUGCGUAAAUAUUGUCAUACUCCUUUACCAUAAAAAUAUUCAACUUGAUAGACAUUAACAAGUGACCAGAUGAGUUCAUGUACAAUAUGCAGUAAUUUAAUUGACAUGCAUUACCCACAUACAGCAGAUAUGUUAAUCAGUACAAUCAGUUUGGUCACGAGUUCUUAAGACGUCUAUCAUUCAAAGAUUACCAGCGUAUAAAAGAGUAUGCAUGAGUAAUAAAAAUUUCAUGACUUUUACUGUUUCUCAUUAUCUCAAGAUAUAUUCAAUUACUAUCUCAUAAUGAUUGAAUCUCAUUAAGCCAGCUUCAGUUCACAAUAAAGUUUGAUUUUUAUUAAUGAAUCACACAUUUAUAAUGAUUAUGUGAUAACCCAACACUUAUAUUUCCAAAAUCACAGGAAAUAUAAGAAAAAUACGCAAAAAUACACGUAUUUAGGGUUCCGUAUGUAUUUUCACAUCCAUAAAAUCAUCAAACAUAUAAAAUAAAUAUACCACGACAUAGGAAAUCACCGUACGAGUCCAACACCGCCAGACACGCGCCCGCACGCGCCUCCUGAGUGCGAGGCGCGUGUUCGACGCGCAGGAGGCGCGUGGCCGCGCGUGGGGGCGCGUCCGGCGUCCUCCGGUGACGCACCGCCCACGGUUUUCUUCGCCUCGUCGAGCCCAGUCCGAAUAUAUAAUUUAAUUUAAUUUUUAUUGAACAAAAAGUCUCGAAAAUCGCAAAUUAGGGCAAGAUCCGCACUAAUUAGGGCUAAUCCGUACAAAUUAGGGCAAAACCAAUUGCGUUCGAGUUCUAGGGUUAUGGUUGCUCUGAUACCACAUGUUAGACGCAAAUUGCGCAAUCCCAAGAUCUCCAUAACCAGAACAAGAACGUAAUUGAGUAGAAAGAUUAACGCACCUGAUUUGGGAUCCAUCGAACAUAAAGUGGAAGCAUAAAAGGAUUACCCACAUAUAUCAAGGGGAUCAACGCAUCAAGUCCUUCUCCUCUAUUGCCCUCCGUAUCACUGGCUCAAUGAGGCGACCCCCCUCACGUUUAGCGUUAGGUAAACGCUCCUUAGGUGAGGAUACAUGUGAGAAUUAUGGUUAGAGGAGAGACUUGAGCACUAUUUAUAGAGUUUCCAGCCAGGCCCUCUCAUUACGGGCCAGGCUCAACUCGGCCCACACUAACCAGCUCAUAUUAUACUAAUUAAGAAACCUUCUAUCUCACCUUAGACCAACCCUGUUUUACGGUAACCGUAAAAAUAGUAAAUUACAAUAUCAAUUAAUUUAGUCCACAUUAGGAAAAACUCUUACAUUAGUAACUCCAUUUAAUGAAAGAUACCAUGGCACCAACCGUUCCAAGAUUUAGGAAAUUCUGCUCCCUACAUCCUGUCCAAAACGGUUUGACUGACCUUGGAAAUUACUCACCGUCCAUCUAGACAAAUUUAUGUACGAGAACCCCUCCUCGCAUAACCUAAUGAUCAACCAUUCCAUGCUAAUCGAAUCAUGUAGUGAUAAAUCCACUUUAAUGACCUCUAAAUCGAUCUAAGAACAAUGAAGAAACGCGAUUCCGUCCUAAUAGCUAAUUCUUAAAGUAAUGUAAUUCAGUAGAGGGAUUUAGAGAUUAAUGGAUUAGGUGAGUUUGAAACUGAUUAGUCAGAGCUCUAGAAGUACCAUAAGCUGCUUGUUUUCUCAAAUCUCUUCGUGACGUGGCCUUCUUAGUCAGCACACGAGGUAUAUGGCUUUGAUACCUCGAUUCCACCACAUCCAGAUACAUUUUCUUAGCUUCUAUUGUCCGGUUAGCACACAAGGUCAUUAGUCUAUGGCUUUGAAUCCUCCAUUCUACUGACCCAAAAAAAUAAAAAAAUUCCUUGAUUCCACCACAUCUAGAUAUAUUUUCUCGGCUUCUACCAUUGGGACCCACUCUGAAAGCGAAAGAAAAAAUGAGACAAAUAAUCAUUUAACUUUAGUCCAUUUUGUAAUGUGGUAUUUGAACUUUUAAUUUAUUUAACGUGAUUUCUGAAUUUAACCAAAUAUUUAAUAUGAACUAUAAACUUUUAAUUUAUUUAAUGUGGUUCUUGAAUUAUUAUUUUGACACAUAUUCAAUAUAGUCCAUAAACUAUAUCAAUAUGUUCGAUAUAAUUCUUUCAUUAAUUUAAGAUCAAUGACAAUAUUGUAUAUCUUUAUCCAGUUCAAUGAUUAAAUUGAAUGCACAUAAAAGUUCACAGACUACAUUAAAUAAAUUAAAAGUUUAAGAACCACAUUGUACAUUAAACUAAAGUUUAAUAACCAUUUGUAUCAUUUCCAAAAACAAAGCACGGCUUAUGUCAUUAACGAAGCCUUGUCCUAAUUUCGUCGAUUAGUAUGAGAACCAGAAGCGGGUCGGCAACAACGUGGGACCUUAACCAGCUUUUCCUCUGUGUUGAAAAAUGACUCACUUAAUUUCAACCUCGUUGACCCUCUGGAAUGUCUAGUUUUACUUUCGUAGGAACCAGUCGGGUUUUGCCAAGUUUUAGGAUGACGCGAUUGAUGGCUAUCGCAAAGGUUUUUCCAUUUGGCUCGAUUCAUGAUCCCGUCGUAGAAGCGCAGGACUCGGGCAAAAAGACUUGAGCCCAAGCGAUCCAAUCGUUACCUAUUUUUUUAAAUGUCUGAGAAAUAUCAAGUAUGUUCAGAGCAAAAAUCUUCAAAAAUCUUAUUCUUUUGAGUACCGAAUUUUCUCUCAAUUUACUUGAGAACGUAGGGAAAAGGUCGAAUCGUGCGAGUUUCUUACGUAGUCAUCCCGCUUUUUCUACUGUGAUUACGACGCCCACUUGAGAAGUGAGGAUUUCUUUCAUUGAUUCGUCAUUAUGUCCACCUUUACUAGAAUGAAGAAAUUCCAAAGUAAUGCUAAGUUUCCAAAUGCGACUAUUCUAAAAACCAUUCCAUUGACGACACACUCGUCCAAUUCCUUCUGGAUGAAAUUUUUCCCGUGGGUAGACGAAUCAAAAAGAUCAAUGUUCAUCCAAACCUAUCCUUUCAACCCUUCUGUUAUAAUGGUAGGCCUAGGGCUGUUCCAUCAAGAAAAGUUUGGCAACUUGAUGAACUCUAUCGGAAACCACUUACUUUUUGUCGUGCUCCAAUGCUUAUCGCCUGAAAAGAAUAGUUUGCCACGACAAAAAAUCUCAUGACGAUGAUAUUUUAUGUUCAUUUAUGAUGAAAAUGAACCAAGGUAAUACGAAGUGAAGAUAGUAGAGUAUUGUAAACACUAUAUACUACAUUGCAAAGGAAUUGAGCUAACUCGUGAUAACUUGUCUCGAUCAUGCAUAUAAUUGAAAGUAGAAAAUCCAAACCGGUGCCUGCGACUCUUGGGCCCAACAUGGCUAGUCCGAUCUUCAGGCAUUUUUUAUAAUUCUAUUUAUGAUCAGGCCAAAAUUUGAGCUUGACAUGACCUCGCUCCAAAGUGUUUAAUGAAUUUACUUAUUUUUAAUAUUUGUAAUAAAAAAACAUAAAAUGUUUGUUAUAUUUCAUUCUAAAGUGGAAAAUAUCUAAUCUUUUAAUUUUGAGUUUACUAAUUAUUAAGCCAUUGAAUUAAUUAGAAAAAUUGCGGUGCUGUCUACUUCGUAAAUGUAUAUAUUAUGCCAUUGCGUAUGAGCCUAAACUAUCUACUUCAUUAAAAGGCAAACCAAAUUUCUAAAACUCCAUGACGCGAGUAUAACCGAUGUGCAAAUUUUGAAGCAAUUUAAAUGAUAUGCAAAUUUGAAGGCAAUUUCACGGUGCUCUUAAUACGAACUUUCUUCGUGUUCUAAUAAUUCACUCGCAUGAGUAGAAAAAGCAAACGAUUCGAAAUAAAAUCAAGCCCCAAAACUCACGAGUAGCAUGAAUCUAAAAGGAAGAUGGCCGAAAUGGAACUUCAGGUCCUUGCCUCUUCAUGCACUUGCCAAUGCUUGCGCAUGAAACAUUACUUGAAGUCUAAUUGCAAACAUAAAUUUGUGAGAAAUUUCCAAAUAAAGAUCCCAGGUGCUCUCAAUUUAUCAAAUAAGAGUCUGAAAUGAACAUUGUCUCAAAUAGAGAUAUGAAGUGCUCUCAUUUUCUCAAAUGAAUGUUUAAGGUGGAUUUUAUUUCAAAUAAAAAUAUGAAGUAGCUAGGUGAGUAUAAAAAAAGGCUUGACUUCACCAGUUGAUCAAAGGCAUUUUCGUCAUUUACAUUUUUUCGCUUUUUUAUUUCUUUUUUCCUUUUUUCUGUUUUUUUCCAUUAAAAAGGACAAAUUUAAAAAAGAAUAAAACUUUAAAAGAAAAAGGAAAAAAAGAAAACAAAAAUUAAAAAAAAAGCACUUGCAUUUUUUUCUUUUUUCUUUUUUUAGUUUGUUUUUUUCUUUGGAAAAAAAUUACAAAAGGAAAUUGAGGCCCUUAAAGAAAACGCAAAUUAGAUUUGCGGUUUAUAGCUUUUCAAUUAUAUUUGACAUGAGAACAAUUGAGAUUCUUAUUUGAGAAAUUGAAGGCACUUUAACCCUUAUUUGGAAUUUUCCUAAAUUUGGAGGAGAUAUUAACACUACAAUAUUUAUUACUUGAUUACGAAAUCCCAUUCCAUCCAUAUGGAGAAAUAUAUCUACAUUGGGAUAUUUCCUAGAUAUACCUACGUAUGUGCAAUCUGGAAAAUAUACUGGGUAAUCUUUCAAGUUACACUAUUUUAGGAAUAUAAUCGAAAAAGAUGGGAGGUAUAUAAUUGGGGAAAAAUACGCUGUUUACCCGAAUCAGCGCUUUUCCUUGGGCGCGACCCGCGUGCCCUUCUAGAAGACCCGGCAAAAAGGAGCAACUUCCCUUUUCUUCUCUUCUUAAUUUCCUUUUUUCAACACCUCAUCUAGAAGGCCAGCACUAAGAAAAGCUAUCAGCCGCAGCUUUCUCUCUCUUCUUUCUCUCUCUAGCUUCGCGUAUAUAUAUGUCAGGUCGGAGCUCGGGAUCGCACCGGAAAAACCAUCGCUCCUCUAGCUCCCCUUCUUCACCCCUUUCCUUUUUAUCCUCUGAAAAUCCGCCAUGAUGGCCGCCGAAUUCGUUCCACCUCCGCCGAAGGAAGAGCCCGUCGACGGCGCCGAUCCGGCGCGAGUUCCCUGUACCGACGACGGCGACGACGACGGGGAAGACGCGCUCUCGCUCUGCAACCUCUCCCUGUACUGCGACGCCGCCGAUAACUCCUUCGCCGACGAUGAGGCCUCCACCGCCUCGUCGUCGUCGUCGUCUUCCUCCGAUCACGACGGCUUCUUCGAGUUCUCAUCCGUCGGGGGCUCCGAUUCCUCCUCCGACCUUGGCUCCGGCGAUCGGAGCAUCGUCUUCUGUGGGAAGCUCAUCCCUCCCCGAGAAUCGCCUCCUCCCGCUGCUCCGGAGAAGAAGAAAUCGCCGAGCAGGAGCACUCGGUCGCCGACGGUCCGGAGAAGGAAGUGCCGGUGGUACCUGAUGGCGUUCGGAUUGGCGAGGUUCCCGACGGAGAUGGCGAUGAGCGAGAUGAGGACGAGGCAGAGCCGCAAUGCCGAGAGGGCGGGAUCGUGCGGCGGCGCCGGCGAGGUCGUGAGGAGCGGCGACUGCGGCGACGAGAGCAAAGCAAAGGGGCUGUUCGGGUUGCUGAAGGCCCUGGGAUCGGGCCACCGCCGUCGCGCCCAUGCGUUCGUGAAGGCAUCGAUGGGCUGCGUCGCGCGCGUGUGACGGGGUUUGGCCAGGAUUGACUCUGCAUUUGGCACACGUGCGAGAGAUAGAGAUAGAGAGAGAGAGAGAGUGGAUUACCAAAGGCGACGCAUGUAGUUGAUGGAUUUUUGCAGAAAUAGUACAAGUUCAUUUUUUUACCAAAAGCUUUGCUUGAUUGACAAAAUACUAUCAAGCGAGUUCAAUCGAAGCAAUGGUCCAAUGUCCAUAUAUGCUUGUGCUAAUGAUUGUUCGGGAGCGCUUCCUUUAAUUCUCUCUCAACAGAAAAGUUCUGAUUUUUAAAGGUAGCGAUUCUUUAGCGAUUCUAUAUAUUCCAUAAAAGAAGUGCACGUUCGUUUUUACUACAUUCUUUAUCGAGUUUGUUAUAGUAAAUAUGACCUAUAGUGUAGAGGGUCAUGGUGUAUUAAGGACCUUCUCCAAUUUUAUGAGAUAGAACUUGUUGCGAUAUAUGCAAUCUUUAAAUUCAAGAUCUUGAUUGAUUUUAACUCUCCUCUAGUAACUUAUAUAGCCCAUAGGUUAUGUAUGGAAUGAUAUAUUAAAUUAAAUCUCAAAUCAUGUCUAACAAUUAAAAAAUAGGUGGCGGUGUUUUUGCAAGUUCUUACCCUAAUUCAUGUCAAUCAUUCACUCAAUUAGCAGCAAAAACCACUAAAAACGAUCCCUAUUCAAACAGAAAGCGCACGUACACGCACAAUUUUACAUCUUCACCAAUAAAAGUUGUCUCAAAUAAUAACGACUGGUUAUUUAAUUAAACUCCACCUCCACCUAAUCACACGCUUUGCGAUCGCUUCGUAAGUACGAAAACGAAAACCUAAGCUCCCAUGGACAAGAGGAAUUUACUAGAGAGGGAGGGAGGGACAAGGACAAUGAGGACAAGGAUGGAUCGGUUGUAGUAGAGUUUGAGACCCAUGUCAUCGUGGAUCUCGUUAGUCCUUGAGGGUGAUGUGGUUUGGGCGGCAACGAGCUUGAUGAGGUCACUGAUAAUGCUUGUUGCACUUCACCCUCACCUUCUUCCCCCAGCUGGUCGUUCAGCGUUCGUUCGACGAGACCUCAAUUUGCUAGGUCGUAAAUCGAUUUGGAAGGGAGAGAGAGCAGGGCGUCAUCGCGCCUUGUGAGACAAGGGAGGGAGAGUAGAGUUAGGGCUUCUCGAUUGUGAGUUGGGAGGGACGGAGAAAGCAAGAGCAGAAUUGUACACGCUAGAGAGAAAAGAAGUGUCGAGAGUGAAGAGUGAAGAGAGAGGGAAGAGGGGACGGAGAGAGAUCGUGGAGUCAAGAGAGAGGGGCUUGAGAGAGUUUGAAAUUUUUCGAAUAUUGGAGUUCCGAAUAAUAUGUGUCGCACGGUGAGUGGAUCUAUACAAGGUUAACGUGGUACCAUCGCUAUAUGUAAUAUUUUUCUCAUUUGUGAGGAGAAUUUUAAAAUAUUAAAAUAUUAAAAUAUUAAAAUAUGCAUUCACCAAAUUUGACAAUGAUCCCUCGGAAUCUCGGGGAUAGAUGAUAACCUGCGUGCCUCAUUUGAGCUUUGGAGACAAGACAUGGGGCCUACGUGGGUGACAAGGGAGGGCAAUAAAUUCUUCCCGAGCGUAUAAAAUGUAAACAGAUUAUAAUAAAAAAAAUGGGAAAAAUCGUACCUGCUGGCUUGCUCAUCUAGAAGAUCAAGCAAAAGGAAUAACUUUUCUUUCCUUCUUAUUUUUCUAAUUCUUUUUUUAACAACUCAUUUUCAAUUUUCUUCUCGACGCUUCAUCUAGAAGGCCCGUAACAAGCUAAACAACGAACCAUCGGAGCAGCAUCCACCUCUCUCUCUCUCUCUCUCUCUCUCUCUCUUGCUUCUAUAUAAAUCCAUUCAGCCCCGACUCAUUUUCUCCAACGAAGCAGUCUUCCUUUUACUUCUCUGCCCCACAUUUCCUCAGAAAAUCCACCAUGACGACCACCGCCGAUUUCGUUCAAGCGCCACCGCCGAAGGAAGAGCUCGUCGACGCCGAUCCGGUGCAAGUUCCCAAUAACUACGACGACGAUGGCGAGGGCGAGGGCGACGACGCGCUCUCGCUCUGCAACCUCUCCUUCUACUGCGACGCCGCUGAUUGCUCCUUCGCCGACGAUGGCGCCUCCACGUCCUCGUCGUCCUUCUCCUCCUCCUCCGAUCACGACGACUUCUUCGAGUUCUCGUCGAUCGGGGACUCCGAUUGCUCCUCCGACCUCCGCUCCGACGAUCGCCGCAUCGUCUUCUGCGGGAAGCUCAUCUCCCACCGAGAAUCGCCUCCUUCUCCUCCUCCUCCUACUCCUGAGAAGAGAUCUCCGGUCCCGACCGGCCGCGGGAGCCAAAAGAGCGGGAGCAGGAGGACUCGGUCGCCGGCGGCCCGGAGGAGGAAGUGUCGGUGGUACCUGAUGGCGUUCGGAUUGGCGAGGUUCCCGACGGAGAUGGCGCUGAGCGAGAUGAGGACGAGGCAGAGCCGCAAGGUCGAGAAGAGGGGGUCGUGCGACGGCGAGAUCGUGAGGAGCGGCGAGUGCGGCGACAAGAGCAGAGGGAAGGGGCUGAUCGGGUUGCUGAAGGCUCUGGGAUUGGGCCACCGCCGUCGCGCCGAUGCGUUCGUGAAGGCCUCGUUAGGCUGCGUCGCGCGCGUGUGACAGGGUGGCCAGGAUUGAAUCUGUAUUUGGCACACGUGCGAGAGACAGAGAGAUUGAGUUGGAGAUAUAGAGAGAGAGUAGAUUACCAAAGGCGAUGUACGUAAUGGAUGGAUUUUUGCAGAAAUAGUAGAGUUCAUUUUACCCCAAAGCAGUUUGCAUAACAUCGCAUGCCCGAUUGACAAGAUGCUGUUAAGCGAGUUAAUGGAAGAAAUGGUCCAAUGACUAUGCAUACACUUCUCUUAAAUUUAUGCCUAUGACAUGUGUAAAUGGUCAUUAAUUAGUACGCAAUUGGUGAGAAUUUUCCGGUUGACAUUUAAUUCUUGAACUAGAAUCCCUACUGUUCCAACCAAUCAUGCCAAUCUUGGGAUUGCCCGCAAUAUCGGGCUUCACAAGAAAUUUGUAUUCAAUUAUACUCUUUAGUACAAAUUUAGUCCUAUAUUGCAAUUAACGUACAUAAAGAACAUUAAUAGGAAGCAAGGGACGUUUCUAAUCGCACAAUAAAAUUUAAAUAAAGAGGAAAUCCCAAAAAACAUACCCCACUUUUUACCAAGUGCCACUAACAUAUCUCUAUUUUUGAAAAUACCAAAUAAAUACAUGCGUUUUACCCUUUAGAGACCAAAUUUGCACCUUCACAUGAUCACAUCUAUUGCCAUUUAUGCCUAUCCCAAAAUCUAAAAUCUAAAAUCUAAAACUCACUAAAAACACCCAAAAUCAACUAAAAACCAAUUCACCAAAAACCAUAGGCAAGAUGAUAAUAAAAUGAUUUGUAAAGAGGGACAAUUUGGUCUUUUCAGUAUAAACUUUUGUUUAGGGGAAUACCAUCUAUAUUUGUAAAAAUAAAAGUAUGUAAGUGAUCAUUAAGUCAAAAAUUGAUAUUUUCUUCUAAAAUAAAUAAUAUACAAAUUUUAACAACCGAUUAAGCAUGAUUGUUGAAGCCAUCAUAUUAUACUUUAAUGGGUUAAUACCUUGAAAAAUCUCAAACUAGUACACUUGUGAUAAUUUUAUCCGAAACUAAUUUUUUGACCAUAAAAAAUCCCAAACUGGUACACUUUUAACAAAUUUACCCAAAAUUGAUAUAGUUGUGACAAAUUGACCUUAUGUUAAUUCUCAUUAAAUUUUACUGUCAAAUUACUAAAUUGAAUAAUACGUGGUAGUUGAUGGGUAUAUUAUUUUGGAAUUUUAUUCUCUAUUUGUUAUAGUUAUACAAUUUUUGUGAUUUUUUGUUGUAUUAAUCUAAUUUAACGAAGUGUAUAUUUGUUACAAAUGUAUCAGUUUGAGACUUUUGGGGGUCGAAUUAAUUAGUUUGAGAUAAAUUUGUCACAAGUGUAUCAGUUUAGAAUUUUUUAUGAUUAAUUGAGAUAAAUUUGUGCAAGCUCCCCUAUCUCACAUGCACAACAUAUUCUCUCUCUCUCUACCUACUUGCGAUUUCGCUAUGCUCUCUCCGUCCCUAAAGCCCUAGCUGUACUCCCUCCUCUCUCCCCCCUCCCACAUCAACUCAUGACCUCGUAGAGAGAGCUCUCAUUCAAGGAACAUUGAACUACCGAUUGGGGAAGAAGGUGAGGGUGAAGUGCAACGAGGACAGCACCAUGAGUGACCUCAAGAAACUCGUUGUCGCCUAGACCACAUCACCCUCAAAGACUACAAGAUCCGCAAUAGUAUGGGUCUUGAGCUCGAACUCUACUACAACCAAUCCAUCCCUCGCCCUCACCGUUCUUGUCUCCCCUCCCUCUCUGAUAAAUUACUCUAUUGGAAUCUUAGGUUUUUGUUUUAUAGCAACUAAUCCAGUAUAAUAUAAGCUGCACCAAGCAGUUGUUUUCAUUCUGAAUAAUAAAAUUGCAACCUAUUAGAAUGAACGUACAGUCCAUGAUGACACCGAUCGAAAGAUACAUCUAUCAAACAAAUUACCCUAAUGUCAAUUAUUCACUCAAUUAGCAGCACAAACCACUAAAAACAAUCCCUAUUCAAACAUAAAGCACACAUACACGCACAACUGAACGUCUUCACCAAUAAAAGUUAUAGUAGCAAAAACACUAGUCUCUAAUAACGACCGCUUAAUUGAUUAAACUCCACAUCCACCUAAUCACACGCUUUCCGAUCGCCUCUAAAGUACCAAGAAAAAAAAGAGAAAAAAACCUAAGCUUCCAUAGACUAGAGGAAUUUACUAGAGGGGGAGGGAGGGACAAGGGAUGGAUAAGUUAUAGUAGGGUUUGAGACCCACGUCUUCGUGGAUCUCAUAGUCCUCGAGGGUGAUGGGGUCUGGGCGGCAACGAGCUUGAUGAGGUCAUCGAUGGUGCAUGUUGCACUUCGCCUUCGCCGUCUUCCCCAACUGGUCGUUUGGCGUUCGUUCGAUGAGAGCUCAAUUUGAUAGGUCAUAAAUCGAUUUGGGAGGGAGAGAGAGCGGGGUGUCAUCAUGACUUGUGAGACAAGGAAGGGAGAGUAGAGCUAGAGCUCUCAAUUGCGAGUUGGGAGGGACGGAGAAAGCAGGAGUUGCACGUUAGAGAGAGAGAGAGAGAGAGAGAGAGAGAGAGAGAGAGAAGCGUGAAGAGUGAAGGGAGAGGGAAAAAGGGGAUGGAGAGAGAGACCAUGGAGCGAAGAGACAGGGGCUUGAAAGAGUUAGAAAUUUUUUUGAUAAGGGGGCUUGCGAGCAACACGUCACAUGGUAAGUUAGGGGUGAGCAUCGGUCUAGGGUCAAUCAUGGACUAUCCCUGGACCAGCUUAACCCUACCGGUCUUGGUCCUGUUCCUAGGAGGACUAAGUCAAUCUUUGGUCCUGAGAGUUUAAGAUUGAUUUAACUCAGAUCAAACUUAACUGUAUAUAUUAUAUAUAAUAUAUACUUAUAUUAUAUAUCUAAUGUAUUAUUUAUAAAACUUUUACAUUUGGUGUUGUGAGUAUUAUUGAUUGAUGAUUAUAAGAACUUCUCAUCUUGUCCAUGUCUCUAUAAGUGGUUUUAAUCGUUUUUAUGGUUUCAUUCUUUUGGUAGAUGUGAAAUUUCUAUUGUUGCCUUAUCUUAAAUUUAUUGAAUACGUAUUGGUAUUUAUAGUUUGGUUAUAUAACAACGCAUUGUUUAUGGAUAUGUAAUUUGAAAUGAUAGGUUUGCCUUUUCAUAGAGUACAAAAAAUGAAACAAAAAAGUUAUCGAUUGGUUCUAGGUUGAACGUGAAACCAGACCGAACCCAUUAGGUCGGUUUGGUUCUUGGUCCCAUGCUCAACAAAGUUGGUUCUUAAUCCCAAAAAUUAAGAAUCAAUAUCAUGUGGAUUGAUCCAAGGGUUAGAGGGCAAACCGGCCCAAUCCGGAUCAUAUUUACCUUUAUGAUAAGUGAACUUAUGCAUGGCCAACUUGGCACAACCGUUAUAUACAACAUUUUCUCAUAUGUGAAGAGAAGUUUUAAAAUAUUUAAACAUUAAAAUGCGCAUUCACCUAUUAAUCUAAUUUUUUUAGAUAAUUUUACAAUAAUCCCUCGGAAUCUCGGGCAUUGAUGAAUAACCUGCGUGCGUCACUUGAGUUUUGGAGACAAGACAUCCAGCGUGGAGACGAGGGAGGGCAAAAAAUUGUAAUAAAUUCUUCCAAAGCAUGUAAACGUAAACAGAUUAUAAUAAAAAAUGGAAAAAUCGUACCUUCUCGCUUGCUCAUCUAGAAGACCGAGGAAAAGGAAUGACUUUCUUUCCAAUUUAUUUUUCUAAUUCCUUUUUUUUAACAACUCAUUUUUAACUUUCUUUUUUUAAUUACAUUUUCAAUUUUUUUUUACCUCCUCGCUUGCUCAUCUAGAAGACCAAGGAAAAGGAAUGACUUUCUUUCCAUUUUAUUUUUCUAAUUCCUUUUUUUUUAACAACUCAUUUUUAACUUUCUUUUUUUAAUUACAUUUUCAAUUUUUUUUACCUUCUCGCUUGCUCUUGCUCAUCUAGAAGACCAAGGACAAGGAAUGACUUUCUUUCCAUUUUAUUUUUCUAAUUCCUUUUUUUUAACAACUCAUUUUUAACUUUCUUUUUUUAAUUACAUUUUCAAUUUUCUUCUGGAUGCUUCAUCUAGAAGGCCCAUAACAAGCUAAACAACGAACCAUCGGAGCAGCAUCCACCUCUCUCUCUCUCGCUUCCAUAUAAAUCCAUUCAGCCCUGACUCAUUUUCUCCAACGAAGCAGUUUUCCUCUUUACUUCUCUCUCCCACAUUUCCUCAGAAAUUCCACCAUGACGACCACCGCCGAUUUCGUUCAAGUGCCACCGCGGAAGGAAGAGCUCGUCGACGCCGAUCCGGUGCAAGUUCCCAAUAACUACGACGGCGACGGCGACGGCGACGACACGCUCUCGCUCUGCAACCUCUCCUUCUACUGCGACGCCGCUGAUUGCUCCUUCGCCGACGAUGGCGCCUCCACGUCCUCGUUGUCGUCCUCCUCCUCCGAUCACGACGACUUCUUCGAGUUCUCGUCGAUUGGGGACUCCGAUUGCUCCUCCGACCUCCGCUCCGACGAUCGCCGCAUCGUCUUCUGCGGGAAGCUCAUCUCCCACCGAGAAUCGCCUCCUUCUCCUCCUCCUCCUACUCCUGAGAAGAGAUAUCCGGUCCCGACCGGCCGCGGGAGCCAAAAGAGCGCGAGCAGGAGGACUCGGUCGCCGACGGUCCGGAGGAAGAAGUGCCGGUGGUACCUGAUGGCGUUCGGAUUGGCGAGGUUCCCGACGGAGAUGGCGCUGAGUGAGAUGAGGACGAGGCAGAGCCGCAAGGUCGAGAAGAGGGGGUCGUGCGACGGCGAGAUCGUGAGUAGCGGCGACUGCGGCGACAAGAGCAGAGGGAAGGGGCUGAUCGGGUUGCUGAAGGCUCUGGGAUUGGGCCACCGCCGUCGCGCCGAUGCGUUCGUGAAGGCCUCGUUAGGCUGCGUCGCGCGCGCGCGACAGGGUGGCCAGGAUUGAAUCUGUAGUUGGCACACGUGCGAGAGACAGAGAGAUUGAGUUGGAGAUAUAGAGAGAGAGUAGAUUACCAAAGGCGAUGUAUGUAAUGGAUGGAUUUUUGCAGAAAUAGUAGAGUUCAUUUUACCUCAAAGCAGUUUGCAUAACAUCGCAUGCCCGAUUGACAAGAUGCUGUUAGCGAGUUAACGGAAGAAAUGGUCCAAUGACUAUACAUACACUUCUGUUGAAUUUAUGAUUUUGACAUGUGUAGAUGGUCAUCAAUUAGUACGCAAUUGAUGUGAUUUGUCCAAUUGACAUUUAAUUCUUGAACUUCCAACCAAUCAUGCUAAUCUUAGGAUUGUCCGCAAUAUUGGGCUUCACAAGAAAUUUGUAUUCAAUAUUACACUUCAGUACAAUUUAGUCUUAUAUUGCAGCUAAUGUCAAUAAAGAACAUUAAUAGGAAGCAAGGGAAGUUUCUAAUCGCGCAAUAAAAUUUAAAUAAAAGAGGAAAAACCAAAAGAACAUACCUCACCUUUUACCAAGUGCCACCAACAUAUCUCUAUUUUUGAAAAUACCAAAUAAAUACAUGGGUUUUACCGCUGAGAGACCAAAUUUGCACCUUCACAUGAUCACAUCUAUUGCCAUUUAAACCCUAUCCCAAAAUCUAAAAUCUCAAACUCACUAAAAACACCCAAAUUCAAAUAAAACCAAUUCACCAGAAACCAUAGGCAAGAUGAUAAUAAAAUGAGUUUGUAAAGAAGGACAAUUUGGUCUUUUCAAUAUGAACUUUCGUUUGGAGGAAUACCGACGAUAUUUGUAAAAAUAAAAGUAUGUAAGUGGUCAUUAAGUCAAAAUUGAUAUUUUUGCUCAAAAAAUAAUAUAGAAAUUUUAUUGUUAACAGCCGAUUAAGCAUGAUUGUGGAAGCCAUUACAUUAUACUUUAGUUGGGAUGUGGGUUUUUCCUUUUCUCCUAAGUGAAAUAGAGGGAGCAUUGUAUCGAACAAAGAAUCCACACCCUUUGAAGAUGAGUAUCUUUUUCCAUAAUGUACUUUCUUUGAUUUGUAGAUAAAAAUUCAUUUCAUAAAUCAAUAAUUAAGAUUUACUGAGGUAUUGAAAAAGCAUUACAGAAGCGGAGAAUUCUCGUCCAUACCUAAACAUCCAAGGAAGGAAGGAAGGAAGGAAGAUAUCUUCUCCUUCUAUUUUCCCUCUUAUUUUUGCAAUCCUCCGUUGACAAACAUUUCAUGGACUAAAUAGUCUUAACAAGACCCCAAUAGGUUUUAUAUGCUUGGAGACCAAGGUCCGAAAUUAAUUGGCUAUUCCAGGUACAAUUGAUAAAUUGGAAUUAUCUCAUAAAUGAGGAAUUCAUAAAAAUAUGAAAAAUGUUUCACUCUAAAUUAUAAUAUAUUUAAAUUAUGAAUUGAAAUUUCUAAUUAUUAAGCUGUUGAAAUGUUUAGUAGAAUAUGGCGCUGUCUACUUCAUAAAUAAAUAUAUCAUGCUCUUGGAUAUGAGAAUAAACUAUUUACCUCAUCGCGGAGUAUACGAUGCUUCUAGAAUAUGAGCAUAAACUAUGAGAAAAAAAAUGCUUACUUAUGAUCCAUUUGUUCGAAGGAAUACUGUCUUAGAAAAAGUUAUUUUCCGAUUUUCCAGUAUUUUGUGACAGAAAAUUAAUCAAUCUACAUAAAAUGCUUUCCAUGGAUUGAAAUCCAUAAGAUUAGGUUGGAGGAAAACGACUUCCCUUUUAGCAAGAAUGAAUUUUCUUAACAAAUUGAAUAAAUGAAAACUAACAAUUUUUGUUUAAAUUAAUUUCCAAGGAAUUUUUUUUUUUUAUCAUGAAAUUUUCAGUGAAACAAACGCAUUUGUCUGCAUCAAAAUUCCCUGACACGAAUUUGAAGUGCUUAAUGUUGAGAACUCCUUGACAUGUGUAUAAAUGGCUUGCAACAGGACUGCUUGGCACAAAUUUAAAAGAUCUCAAAUUCAAAUCAAGUUUCAGUACCCCCUAGGUUCGGCCAACAAUCAUUUAUGCCAGUAGCUUGCGCUUUAGGGGACAAAAAUACGGAUCAUCCAUCUCAUCCUUAACCGAGAUCUAGCGAGGUUGCUAUCCAAUGGCCAAAAUCCGUCAACUAGCUCACUUUUUUUUUUUUUUUUUUUAUAAAUAUAAGGAGUAUAAUCUGUAUGUAUAAAAUGUACUUGCGGAAACCUGUGGAAACAAGGAAAAUGCAAACAACUUUACAGAAGGGAGAGAAAAAAUUAAAAUAAGGAUGCUCUUUCCUGGUACCCACUCGCCUGCCCUUCUGGAAGACCAAGGAAAAAAGGACUACACUUCCUUUUCCGUCCUUAACUUGUUCAACUUCUCGUUUUUUGACUCUGUUUUAUAUUUUUCUUCUCGAUACUUCAUCUAGAAGGCCACUGACGAAGCUAAAAACGACCCGCUUCAGCAGAAAGCCCUCUCUCUCUCUCGCUUUUAUAUAAAUCUAUUCGGCCCUGAGCUCGUCAUCUUCUCCAACAGAGCGGAACUCCUCUUACUUCUCUGCCCACCCAAUUUCCUCUGAAAAAUCCACCAUGACGACUGCCGCCGAUUUGGUUCAAGCACCGCCACGGAAGGAAGAGCUCGUCGACGCCGAUUCAGCGCAAGUUCCCAAUAACUAUGACGACGGCGAUGACGACGCUCUCUCGCUCUGCAACCUCUCUUUGCACUGCGACGCAGCCGAUCACCCCUUCGCCGACCACGUCCCCUCCACGUCGUCCUGCUCCUCCUCCUCCUCCUCCACCACCUCCUCCUCGGAUCAUGAUGACUUCUUCGAGUUCUCAUUGAAUGGGGACUCCGGUUCUUCCUCUGACCUCUGCUCCGAUGAUCGGAGCAUCGUCUUUUGCGGGAAGUUCAUCCCUCGCCGAGGAUCGCCCCCUCGUCCUACUCCUCCUCCUCCUCCUACUGCUCCGGAGAAGAAGAGAUCGUCGCUCCAGACCGGCGGCGGAAGCCAAAAGAGCACGAGCAGGAGGACCCGGUCGCCGACUGUCAGGAGGAGGAAGUGCCGGUGGUACCUGAUGGCGUUCGGAUUGGCUAGGUUCCCGACGGAGAUGGCGCUGGGCGAGAUGAGGACGAGGCAGAGUCGCAACGUCGAGAAGAGGAAAUCGUGCAAUGGCGGCAGCGAGAUCGUGAGGAAUGGCGAUUGCGGUGACGAGACCAGAGGGAGAGGAUUGUUCGGACUGUUGAAGGCUCUGGGAUCGAGCCGCCGUCGUCGCGCCGACGCUUUGGUGAAGGCCUCGUUGGGCUGCGUCCCGCGCGUGUCAGGUUUUGGCCAGGAUUGACG
rnacentral:lncRNA from 1 species